rnacentral:misc_RNA from 1 species
GGCAAGGGGAGGGAAAUGAGAUAUUGGCGAAAGUGGUGUGGGGCAGGUAGGUGUCAGAGAGGAUCAGCUGGCAGGGUUUGUUUAUCGACGGGCGGAGGAGAGACAGGGGAGGUGAGCGCCAGCUGUCCUGCUCACACCACUCUUUACCUUCUUCUUCUUAAUUAUUCAGCCUCGGAGGUGAUGGGGACCCCAAUGGAGUUCUCCUUUGCUCAGACAACAAUUGCGCCUAACGAGACAGAUUUUGAGCUGAUUGAGCCACUGUGGCAACAAGACAAACACAGCUGUAACCAGUAUGUUGCUCAGAACAAAACAUCCUGGCUACACACUGGCUAUGAAGGAAUCCCAGAGAACUUGCUCAUUAACGUCCUGGCAUGGCUUUUGUUGCUGUCCCUAUUCACUGUGCUGAGGAAAAAGGCGUGGAACUAUGGGCGGCUGGCUCUGGUGCAGAAGUACGAGAGUCGAAUAAAGAACCUUGGAUUCAGUCAGUACAAUGUGUGGACGCAGCUAUUCUAUGGACAAGAGUCAGACACAGGGAAGAUGGCAGCAGAGGUGGACUCGGUCUCUUCACUGGAGUUCAACUUGCAGCUAGACAAAGGUUACUUCUCAUGGAUUCCAGCUCUUUUCAAAAUCAAAGAUGAACAGAUCCUGGCAAAGAGUGGAAGAGAUGCAGUGCAGUACUUGUCCUUCCAGCGGCACAUUGUUAUCUACCUGAUGAUUGUGUGCAUUAUCAGCAUCUCCAUUGUCCUGCCCAUCAACUUCCAAGGCACACUGGAGGGAGGAAAGAAGGAGUUUGGCCACACCACUAUGGCCAACCUCAACCCACAGUCAAGACUAAUGUGGAUCCAUGUUACCCUGGCUUUCCUCUUCUUGCCAUUGGGAAUAGUGUUCACCAGGAGGUUCUCUAAGAAGCUUGACUUGAAGGAGGUGACCACCAGUGCCUCCCGAACCCUCAUGAUAACACGAGUGCCGCGCAGAGCCUGUCACAAGGACACCAUUCUCAAGCACUUCCAGGAGGCUUACCCAGAUUUGGAGGUGCAAGAUGUGCAGUUUGCCUAUGACAUAAAGUCCCUGAUUGAGUAUGACAAAGAAAGGGAGGUGGCACGCAAUGCUCGGCUGUACUGUGAGGCUUACCUGAAGGAAACUAACAGGAGGCUGGACAUGCGGCCUUACAAGUGUGGUGUCAUCUGUGGCUGCUGUGACAUAUUUGGCUGCCCCACAGUUGAUGCUAUUGAGUUCUACAGUGAAGAGGAAAUGCGACUGAGUGGUGAAGUUGAGAAUGAGAAAGUGAAGGCGCUGCAGAGACCAACUGGUGUAGCUUUCCUAACCUUUGACAGUAUUGAGAAUGCCAACAAAGUCCUCCGUGACCACAAGAACAAGUGUGACUGUUUCCGCAACAUUCCCGCCUCCUCAGUCUCCAGUGAACUCAAACCCUACAACUGGUUCAUCCGAGUGGCUCCUUCACCAGAGGAUAUUUACUGGGCCAACUUGUCCGUCACCAACCGUCACUGGUGGUUGAAGGCAGUGAUCAUCAACAUCAUCCUCUUUGUGAUUCUCUUCUUCCUCACCACACCAGCUGUGGUGAUAAACAGCCUUGACCUCCUUCUUAUCCAGGGAAAGCUUUACACUAUGAGCCCACUGUUGUCUGAGUUCUUUCCGACCCUGCUGCUGUGGAUCAUGGCCGCCCUAAUGCCCGUCAUUGUGUCAUACUCAGACCAGUUCAUGAGUCAUUGGACGCGCUCUGUUCAGAACCACUCCAUCAUGAGGAAGACCUUCAUCUUCCUUCUCUUCAUGGUCAUCAUCUUACCCUCCCUCGGCCUCACCAGUGUUAAAGGUUUUGCGGAGAUGAUGUUCAGACCCCAGAAUGAAACGUUCCGCUGGGAAUGCAUCUUCUUACCUGACAAUGGCGCUUUCUUUAUCAACUAUGUCAUCACUUCAGCUUUUAUUGGCACUUCUCUGGAGCUGAUUCGCUUCCCCGAGCUUUUCAUGUACAUCCUGCGGCUUGGCCUGUCCCGGUCCCAGGCUGAGACGGCCAGUGUGAGGCAAGCCAUCUUGUACGAGUUCCCCUUUGGUGUGCAGUAUGCCUGGAUGAUGUUGAUCUUUGCCAUGACCAUCAUCUACUCUGUGUCCUGCCCUCUCAUCACUCCCUUCGGAACGCUCUACAUGAUAUUCAAGCAUCUUGUGGACAAAUACAAUAUCUACUUUGCGUAUGGAAGAUCUGUCAUCAGCAAGAAGAUCCACACUACUGCUAUUAACUUCGUGAUAGUGUCCAUAGUUUGUCUACAGCUAAGCCUCCUCUUCUUCUCCUUGCUGAGACAGGGGCUGAAAAAAGACCUCACUAUAUACAGCAUAGUACUCCUGAUCAUCACUUGCCUCGUGUUUGUCACUCACAACACACUGCACUGGUUCAAGGAGCUCAGUCCUGUGGAGUAUAAGGAAUUUGGCAGUGACCAACCAAACGGGGAGGUGUCUUCCGUGAGUGAAGAUGGACUGGAUCCCGAUGCCUCACCAACGGAAGUAGCAUGUCAGUUUGUACCGUCAGUGCUGCGAGACGCUCCCUCUGGGGUGGAGUCCAGCUAUUCCUUUAUUGGGACUGGCCAGCCGCCUCGCAGCUAUGGAACACAGCCACUGGAUGAUGACAGCAUCUUCCUAGGCAGUGAGGCCCCAAUGAGAGGAAGUGGAUCCCUUUACCAAGACUACUCCCAGCCCAAGACUGAGCCUUCCCAGUCCCGGAGCAAUACCCCAGAGCCUGCAGAUCCAUGCUGCCGUGGGUCUGCAGUGCUGGAAGGGACAGAUGAAUCAGGGCUGUCCAUUCAUGAGGCUGGUGAAGGGGAAAUUCAGCAGCAGCAGGAGCAGCAGGAAGACAAAUACAAUACACAAGAUCAGCAGUGCCUUUGGUCCUGGCGUCAGGCUGACCCAGGCCCCGGUUUGUCACUGCAGGUCCGGACAAUCAAUGCGGAGAUCAACACCCCGGCCCCUCAGCCCUGUCCCGGGGAGGAGGCAGCGGAGGAAGAGGAAGAGCUUUACACCCGUGGUUCCCCAACAGUAGUGACGGUGGACGGGACGGUCACCGUUCCAUUCAGUGGUGAUCCCAGUGGUGCCCUCCACAGCCAGAAGCACAGUCACCUGGCCUCAGACCAAAGUGCUCCUGCUACUAAUGUUUAGGUUGGUGUGUGUAACUACUCUUUAUAAUGAGUGCAUGGGAAGUGGUGAUGCUUGUUAAUGGGGUAGUGGGUAAUAGUAUUCCGUAAGCUUUAAGAGCUGCCUGAUUAAUGAGCAACCACAUUAGCUGCCAUUGACAGAGGGAGCUGUGCUAGAAAAAUCCAAAAAGGUUAUAAUCAUUAUAUGAUUACAAGCUUAGGUGUGUUCCUGAUUUUGUUCAGGGUAUUGUUGUAAAUUACAGUAAGAAAAGCUGGCUUAUGAAUUUUCACCUUGUCAUAAAAGUAGAAGUAGUGUUUCUUGUCACGUAACCACUCGGAUGACAUACUGUAGUGUGAAACUUAAAUCUAACUAACAAGUAGCAUAGAGGGAUUGAUUAGUGACCAUCAGAGGUUUGGUGAUAAAGUGGCAUCGGUGAGAUCUCAUUAAUUAACCUGAAGGAAUCUCAAAUAGGAUUUGUUAUAUUAAUGUUUCAGAGAAAAAAAGAUUGCCGUGAGGCUCGAGUCCCUGAAUUAAACCUUUAUGCUUCAUAGAAUGCACUAAGAGAAAGACAGGAUUCCACUUAGCUUACUCAUUAAUGACCCCAUAAGAAUAUAUGUGUGCAAAGCAAGGCCACGGAUUGCAAGCCACUGAAAUAAAGCCACCACUGUCAUGGCGGGCAUGGAGUGGCAGGAUCAGGUCCACCAGGUGUGUGGCUGAGGUACAGCGGACCGACGGUGUGGAGCUCAGGCACAGGAUCACACCACCAGUGAAGGGUACGAUUCUUCAAGCAACAGUUUCCAAUAUUUUUGUUACCAAGUAGCACAUCUGAAGAGUAUCCUGGAUGAUCUACAAGCCAUGUUAAAUAUGUAUAUGUAACAUGGCCUGUAAAAGACUCCAUCACAUACUGGUAGUUUGACAGGUUUUGUAUUUUGUAUUUUUGUAGAAUGUGUAGCAGUGUAUAUUUGGUUUUUGGCGAGGUAAUGUAUGCCUGCUUUAUUUAUUGCAAAUAGAACGUAGUGGGGAAUGAUAAGCAAGCACAAGUGAGGGGGUAUUCAACUAUGUCAGCCAGAUAUAGAUCAUUGCAGUCAUUAACUUUAUUAUACUUAAAUCCUUAGCACACCUUCCUGUAUGUGAUAAGACACUGUAGCUCCUGCUUGCACGUUUUUAACCAAAGCUGAGAACCAAAUUGUAAAAUUUACUGAGGUAAGAUAUUGAGAUGCAUGCUAUCAUUGAAAAAAUAAGAAAAGAAUACUGGCCAUUAUUUUUGUACACAAAAAUAUUUUCUUGACCAACCUUCAGCAGAGAUAUUGAAAUUAAGGAGAAGAAACAAGCAAGGUAUGGUCUUUUGGGUGAUGUUAGUCUUAGCCAAAAUCCCUAAUAUAUAACUUUGAUGAAGCUAGGAAGAAUUACAUAACUCGUAGCAUAGACCUCCCUGACAUGUAGCCUUUAUGAAACAACUUACUAUUGAAGAUUGCCUUUGGGUUUUCAGAUUCAAGGUGUCUCCAUGAGUGUAGUGUAUUCCUUAAUAACCUGAAGCCACAUGUAAUAUUCCAGCAUGUAGGGAACUUGCAUACUGAAGCACUGCUGAUGUCUCUUUAAUGUUACAGGGUUUUGUAAAAUUAUAUAUGAGUUUGCUGACUCGCACUCAACAAUGCAGAUGUUGUUCUUAAUUGUGCUCAUAUUUGUAUGUUUACUUUGUCCGUUAUUGAUGUUGUGUAUGUUGAACAAUAAUUUAAGAAUGACUGAGUUAUGAUUUUUAAAUGACCAGUUUCCUUUCAAAAUUAUAUACAGAUUUAUAAUCAGGUUUAUUGUAAUAUAAAACUUUAGAUUUUCUUGAUUGAUACAUAUUUUUUUAGGAUAUAAUGUAUAGAGUUCAUGGAACCUGUGGUAAUGUUAAUAGUGAUUCUUUUUUAUUGAUUCUUCGUCCUUUGUACAUACAAAUAUAUUACUUGCAUAUUCAGAUUAUGUUUGAUAGUACGUAUUUCAAAGAGCUCAUGCAUAGGUGUCUGUUGUGCCAUUUUACUGUACUGUAUAGAUACAUAACUUAUUAAUGUCUAUAUAAAUCAGUCAAUACUGGCUUAUUACAGUCAUAUGACCAUGUAGCUUCUCCAGAUAACUAGUGAGGAUCCCUCCUUUGAUGAGAGCCAGCAUUAUAAAGCUGCAUACAACUGCAUGAUUGUGUUGGCGCCCCAGUGCACUGCAGGUAGUGAGUCAGGCAGUAGUGAUGUAGGAUUGGUUUCCUGCCGCCUGGCACUGCACAGCAACACACCCUGGGUCACAUUUCUUAUUUUUCCAUUGCUGCACAAGGCAGGGCACUGCCAGUGGUAACUCAUUUGAUGCCUUGCAAUAUUUCUUGGUCAGAUUCUGUCACACACACACACACACACACACACACACACACACACACACACACACACACACACACACACACACACACACACACACACACACACACACACACACACACACACACACA